AAAGGCAUUAGUCACUUUAACU
rnacentral:snRNA from 1 species